UACCUCUCCGGUGGCCUAGUGUUAGAGUGUCCGCCUCUGAUGCUGGAGGAUGCGGGUUCGAAACCCGGCAGAGUUAU